rnacentral:sRNA from 1 species
AUGUGUCGCUCGUACACGCCGGUUCCUGCGUGCUGGCCACGCCCACCUGACGACUGCUCGCCGCGUGUGGUCGGCC